AACGCACAUUGCGCCUUCUAGUAUUCUGGGAGGCAUGCCUGUUUGAGCGUCAUUAAAUCUUACUCUAGCAGUUUUGCUUGGAUAUGAAGGAAGAGUAUAUAAAGGCUCUCCUUUGAAAUGUAUUAGUAGAUGUAAAGUUGUGAAUUACACUGUUUUGAUGUAAUAGUCUUUAUUGGUUGUGAUUUGUAUACAACUAUAUCUUGCUUUAACAUAUUUUUUUUUUUAUGGUUGACCUCAAAUCAGGUAGGGAUACCCGCUGAACUUAA
rnacentral:misc_RNA from 1 species